CUACGGGAGGCUGCAGUGAGGAAUAUUGCACAAUGGGGGGAACCCUGAUGCAGCAACGCCGCGUGGAGGAUGACGCAUUUCGGUGUGUAAACUCCUUUAAUAUGUCAAGAAAAUGACGGUAGCAUAUGAAUAAGCACCGGCUAACUCCGUGCCAGCAGCCGCGGUAAUACGGAGGGUGCAAGCGUUACUCGGAAUCACUGGGCGUAAAGGACGCGUAGGCGGGUUGGAAAGUCAGGUGUGAAAUCCUACAGCUUAACUGUAGAACUGCACUUGAAACUUCUAAUCUAGAGUAUGGGAGGGGGAGAUGGAAUUAGUGGUGUAGGGGUGAAAUCCGUAGAUAUCACUAGGAAUACCUAAAGCGAAGGCGAUCUCCUGGAACAUUACUGACGCUAAGGCGUGAAAGCGUGGGGAGCAAACAGGAUUAGAUACCCCGGUAGUC
rnacentral:rRNA from 1 species